GAAAAUUAAACAUAAGAAGGGUGAGUAUAAAAAUACCCAGUAAGAGACCCUCUACUGGUCCCGUCAGGGGAAAAAUAAAUUGUUAACAUUCUAUUGGGACACCCUGUACAGUCGCAGUCUUGUGAUCCCGUAGGAUGCACAUUUCAGUCUAACGCCCGAGGGACGUACAUUUCAGUGUAGUGUUCUGCAGAAACACAUAUCAGUCUAAUGCUCCAGAAGGUGCAGAAUAAUUGGUGAUCCCGUGGGACACCUACAAGGCACACAUCCCAAUAAAAGCUAACAAUUUUUCCCCUCAAUCCAUUCGUACCAUCUUUCAGUUACUUCAAAAUAUAAAGUUCUUUCACUCAACGUUCUAACAGUCAACUUAUCUCACUUUAGCCCAAUGUCUGUCAGUAACAUACUAAUACGUCAGUCAAUUAAACUAUAUAGUCAUAACGCCUCUCAGUUCACCAGCACACAGUCAUACUUUAGUAUAACGUACACCCAGUCUAAACGACAAUCACAAGUUCACAUCCGCAUCUCAUACAAACACAAUCUACAAUUGUCGUCCUGUCUACAUCCACACACACAUAUAUAUAUUCCAAGACAAUCACAAUAUGCAUUCAACAUCAAGUCUACUUCAAUCCAUGUGUAUAUAUAUAUUUUCAGUCAUCCACAGUAUACAUUCAACACCAAACCUACAUCCAUACGUAUAUAUAUAUUGUCUCAACACAUUUACUCAAUCAGAGGUGACUAACAUUACAAUUCAAAAGCAUAGGUGAGUCCAGUAGAAAAUAAAAUCCUUACCUCACUUUUAUGCAAGUUCUUCAAUCUACUAAAUCCAAUGAAUCAAAUCCUAAACAUAAUCAAUCAUAAAAUCAACAUCUUUCUAAAUAGUUUCAACCAUUCAAAUUACCCCAUAUGUAAAUUCCACAACUUACCCAAGAAGUGGAAAAUCAAGUCCACUUCAACCUUUUGGAAAAUCAAGGAUUCGCUCACUGAAUCAAGAUGUACCUUCAAGAAUUAAGCAUUUCGCCAACAAUUAAAUCCAAUGGCAGCAUUCAACAAAAACCAAGAAACCAACAAAAACCAUAACUUGUUCUUACCCAAAUAUGAGCCCAAUGGUUCACGGAACGAAUCAAGCGGCUGUAAAUAGAGCAACACUGAAUGCGACUCAACUGGAAAAGAAAAUCGGCUUCAAAUCGUAACUCCGUCUUACAACGAGCAGAAGAACAUCGACUUGAUAGGGGACACGUAAUUUAGGAAGAGAUCGACUUGGAUCCGUGUAUGACUUCAUGAGAUGUCCAUUGCAACCAGCCAUUUUGUGUUUCUUUGAGCAACAAAUUUUCUCCACUCGCGUCUUCAUUUCGAGCCUCACAGGUAAUCCUCGUCGACCUUCCUCUAUAGUUUCUUCUUGGUCACUCUUUGCCAUCCUCUUCACCUUUGUUGUAUAACCGUUGCAAUCGCGUUUUCCACGAUUCUUCUAUGGAUUGAGCAACUUCUUGGAAUCCAUCGAUUUAUGGACCUGAAGAUUCCAAUCCGUUCUAAAUAAACACAAUCCAGAUCAGUGCCACUGAACACAGGAAUUUCAACCUUCUUGAAUUUGCUAUGAUCGUUCGAGUUUUCAUCCCUUUUUAAGUUGUUUGUUUUACCUUCUACCUUGAUUUCCUUCAAUGUCUUACCUCCACCUUCGAUGAUACUCUCAAUCGUUGGUCCUUUGCUCGACGAUCCUUCCAUUCUUCCAGAGAUUUUCGAAUCAUCCUUCUGCUAUUCCUUCGAUGCAUUUAGCAACCGUUCUUGUUUUUCCAACUAGAUGACCAGUCUUUCGAUGCUUUCUGGCAAGGAUAACAAGUUUUAUUCAAUUGCCAGCAACUUGUGUAACUCCACUUGUAUCCCCGAGAUUUCCUUAUCAGAGGUCUCCAACUUCUCUUCGAUCCGUUUUUGUGCUGCUCUAUUGUUCUCCCAUGUUAAAACGCUCUGAUACCAAUUUGUUAAGAUACUGUAAAUAUACGGCAAGUGUAUCUUACUUUAUUGAAUUACCUCAACGAAUUACAGUAUAGAGAAUAAAAAAUCACUCACAUCUACUUCCUAAAGGCACAUUCCAGUGAGGAUCACAACAAAGAACAAGAAAAACUAAGAACAAACCGCAACCAUGAAAAUGACCAAAACAUACAAUAAAAAGAACUUGACUUGGACCCUCUACUUCUCCCGAGCACGAAAGACGGCAACCUCUACUUCUUUGGAAUAUUUUGUCCCCUUUCUCCCUCCUCUUUCCUCCCUUUAUUUUGCUUUAUAAACAAACUAAUGGGAAAGAUCUCCUCCGAUAUUUUCUCCUCCUAUAAUCUCUCCUAUAUUCUCGUGUGGGUCAAUAUUACCCUUUUUAAUUCUUCUACUGUAUUUAAAUAAUAUUGGAGACAUAUACUUCCUAACAAGAACAAGAUCUGAAUUUAUUAUAAUGUAACUAUAAGAAAAUACAAAAUAAAAUCAAGUAUAAAGCACUUGGAACCCUCCCUCUUGAGUACUCUCACCCAAGCCUUAUAUCACUCCCCAAAAUUCUCCCAACUUACCCUCCCUCCAUUUAUAAUAACAUGUAACCACCCUAGUUACCACACUUACAUAAUAACUACUAGUAACCACACUUACACAAUAACUACUAGUAACUUCCUAAAUAUCUAAUUACCCUUAUACCCCAACCCUAUACUAAUCUAGGUAUCUAACAAAUUCCAUAACAUAAUGUAUUAGGGGAAGAAGGAAAUCGAGGAUAAAAACACUAGCUAGCCAACAAAUAUCUUUCAUUAGUGAGCUUGAGCCAUUUUACACGUAAAAUGGGAAAAGUAAGCCUGAAACCCAAAUUAGCCUAAUGGUUGUCUUAACAACCACUACCCACCAUCACGAUAGAAACAACUGAGAAGGAAGAGCAUGAUACAAUCCAACUCAAACAUAAGAAUUGAUUUUGAUGUUUAAUUAAAAGUAAACAGGUAGUAGAAUAAGAAACUAUGCCCUUUUAGAUCUAGAAGGUUCACAACAAUUUCCAGCCUAAGCACAACUACGAGGCAAUGGAAGAAUAACGACAAAGGCCUUGUGUGCAUGGAAUCGCUAACUUUUGUGCAAAUGAGAUGAUUAUCGGUAUUCAAAGGCCAAAAGGAUACAUAGAAGAGUGUUCGUCUAAGGUUGCAAGACUAACCCUGAAAAGAGAGCAAUACAAAAAUUUAGAGUUUUCCGCAAAUUUCCUGUAAUGACAUGAGUGCUUGUACUCCCAUCAGCAAUGAGAGAACCACCAAGUCCUCAAUCAUCUGAAUCAGAAAACAACUGCACAUUAGAGCAGUCACAAUUUGCAAUAAAUAGAACUUUUUAUUGUUAGAAUCUUAGAAUAUUUAUGAAAAGUUUAUGGGAAUAUUUUUCUUAAUUCCUAAAUAUUUUCCUUUUUUAUUCCUCUGUAUAUUCUAUUUAUUCUCCCUUGUACCUAUUGUAUUUUUCAUCAAAAAAUAAUAAGAAGAAAAAUAUAGUGGUUUUUCUCCUGUACACAGGUUUCCACAUAAAGUUCUGUGUUUAUUUGUCUCCCUUUCAAUAUGGUAUCUGAGCAGGUGGUCCAAGAAGGUCUUGUGUUCAAGCCUCGCAUUUUCGUUUCCUCCCCAAUUAAAAUCCGUUUCCAGUUGUUGGGCCUUUCAAAUAUUUCAAGCCCACAAGUGAGGAGAGUGUUGGUGAUAUAUAAUUGAAUUUUCUUUCUUUUUUUAAAAAAGGAUACAAGUCUCACUAUUGUUAAUAUAAAGAAAGAGACAAAACUCAAUGUACAUGAGGAUUAUAAAAAGAGCAAAAGGGAGAGGGAAGAUCAACAGGUGCAUCCGGCAUCUCAAACUAGGUUGACACCCCCUUAGUGCCCUCAAAACAUCCAAAAAGCGACAACACAAGAUCAAAACAAAAAGCCACAAAAACAAAGACAAAAUAAAUGAUAAAAAGAAUCUUUCCAAAGCAAAAUCAUAAUCCAAGGCAGCAUGCUGAGAACAAAGAAGAAUAAGCCUUGAUUGGUUGAGCAAAAACUAUUUGAAGCAGAGGGUUGAUCCGAAAGUUCUGAUCAUCACAAAUAUCCUACGUCGAAGAUCUUCUUUUGCAUUACAUUUUCUAAAAUUUCCAAUCCACUCUGUUAAAGGCCUUUUCAAGGUCUAAUUUAAUGAUCCAUUUUUCGGAUACUAUAGACCUCCACAGUUUCUUUUGCUAUUAAAAUAGGAUCCAAUAUUUGGCACUCUUCCAGAAAGCCACAUUGUAAUGGAGAAGUAUGUUAGGAUUCUAACAAUAAAACACAAAUAUCCUAACCAAAUGGCUAAACAGAGCAGCACUCUGUAAUUCUUUUUAUGUAAAAGCCAAAAACACACUGUAGUAGAUAUGAAAAAUAAAGGAUGAACAACAUAGAAAACUUACCCAGCUCCUUUAUACGGACUGGAUACCCUCAGGCUACACAGCCUUUACUCUCCUUGAAAUAACCAAAAAAGACCUAGCCUCCCCCUACCCCAACAUUACAUAUUUAUACCUCUCUCUCUCAUCCCUCCUGGCGGCCCCACCUAAGGAAUUUCCCUUUCUACCGUUCCUUUUAUAGGUAUAGAUAAUAGGAGGUCUUACAAAGUAAUACUUGGCUUGACUUUCUUUAAUCUUUCUGCGAGAACCUUUCCAAACAACUUAUAAAUUAAUGUUGAAACAACUUAUAAGCCACACUGUAAUGACAUUCCUUCUCUUGACCGAACUUCAAUAAUCGACAACUUAUAUUUAUCCACAUAAUCAGCAAAACUCUUAAUCUGCCACUAGCUUCACCCAACCAAUUCCUUUAAACUCCAUAGUGCCUUAUAAUACAAUUGGCAAUCUCUUCUUCUUUGGUCUCCGGAAUCAAUGCUCUAUCUGGAUUAGCUUCUUCAAAAGAUUUUUAAUAGCAAUUGUUUCGAAUAUGAAUCCUCUAGUGUUCCAUGAUAUAAUCUCCAUCUUUGCUACCUCUGCCUUAUAUCAAUUCAAUUUCACAUGCUGCCAAGAAAGGAACCAACUCUUGAGGGGAAGGAUACUGACCUCAAAAAUUUCUUUUAUGGGGAGGAAAACAAUUUAAUAAAAUCUGGACGAGAGAGUCAAUUCCUCUUGUUUCUCUGUCUCUGAUUGAAUUAUUUCUUCCUCAACUGGUUCAAUUAUGCACUACUUACUUGACUUGAUUUUUCCAUGAAAUCAUCUUCUAGGUUCUCAACUUUUUUUGAGACAAGAAGUAUCUUGCACAAAAUUAAAGAAUGAACCAAAAAGUUUGGAGGAGAUUGAGAAAAUUUAUUACUUAAGGAGGAAGGCAGUACUGACCUUUUGCCAACUGAAUUUGGAAUUGUAUCUUCACACAACUUUCUCUAAUAAAUCAGAAUUAGCCAAGGUCAUCCAAAUGUUGCGAAAAGAGUUCUCCCUUUGGUAUAGUCUUGAGGUGCUCAUAAAUUUUUUGCAUGUAUUGGAAUAGCUUUCAUUGCAGAGAUAUUUUAGUCUUGGGAGAGGCUGUAAUUUUGGUUGAGAACUGAAAACAGGAGAUGGCCAGCAAGUAAGUUCCUUGAUGGAGGAGAGGACUCUGAUUCUUCCUCCAAUUCGUCAGAAUACCAAAAGCCAUUGGUAUUCUGAUUAAUAAAUUCUUGGGGCCUACCAUCUGUGGUCAGAUUUUAAAAUGUCUGCAGAUACAUUAAGUUUGAAAAAAUCUGGUUGGGAGGCUAGGUGAGCUAUUUUUGAGAUAAUAAAAUACCGGCUGGCUCUUUUCUACUUUCAAGGUCUGUUUUUCUCUCUUUUCUGUUGAAGUCUUUUCCCCUUCUAAGUACGUGGAGAUGCCAGCUAUACCCAAAUUUGAAUUUUGCCUUCUGAAAAUUAUUUUUUCCGGCGAGGAUUCAAGGUCUGAAACUCUUUCCGGCUCGAACAAGGUUUUCUUCUUCAUCAUCCAACUUCCUAAGUGCUUCGAAAGGAUUUCUUGAGAUGGAUGGGCAUUCUGUUUGAGAAAAUUCAGGUAUCUGGGAGACCAUCACUUUGGAGCCCUUCAUCUAAAAUCACUGAAUUUAUUCUACAUAAAUCAAUAGGAUUGGAAAAUCACUUUGCAAUAGAUCAGAUUGGAUUAUUACAAGAGCUUCUAAGGUUCAAAAUCCCCAAAUUAAGGGAAAAUUUCCUUAGUUCUCACUCUUUAAUUCUAUACUUGCUGGUAAAAAUCCGCAAAGAUUUUUCCAAACUUUAAUUCUUGCUUCAGAGAACUUGAUCAGAUUGAGUGUUCUAAGAUUAUACUUUCUAGUCCACCAAAGUAGCUUAAGCUUAAGGCUAUAAUUGAAUUUUCUUUCAACCACCAGCUUAAACUUUUUGGUGAAUCGGUGGUUUAAUAUUUAUAUUAAUAUUUUAUAAAAAGUAUACAGCUAAUGCCAUAUAAAAUAAAUAAAGAAAUACUAUAAAAUCUACAUCCAUAAAAUAUGCAUGUGAACACAUAUCAGAAGAUGGAUAUCGUAAGUUAGAAAGACCGAUAACAAAAUGUCAUAAUUAAACAACAUCAUAUAUUAUGGGUAGUUUCAAGCUUCAUUUGUCUAUUCUAGGUAGGAUAUUGAAUAACUCUUAAAAAUAAUAUAAAGAUUGACAUCCCUAAACUUCAUGCUUGCUUGUAUACAACCUAAAAGUUCAACAGUUAAAAAAACUUAAUCAUUUUUGCAGGAUGUCAGAUUCGCCUUUCGAAAUCCUACAUGAGUAGAGCCAGCCAAAUAAGCCAAGCCUCUUAAGAAAUAUGAGAAGUUCAAUGACUGGGUAUGUAUAUGAUAAGCCUUAACCUCAAUUUUAUUUGUCAAUAAUGGAGGGAAGGAAUCAAAAGCUUCUCUAGCGUCUCCCAAUUAUUCUAAGAAACCUAAUACAAGGUAUGUCAAAACAUACCCUCCCCAAACAAUCAUAAUAGCAUUUAUAUGAAAGCAUAAAAGACUCAUGGCCCCCUUAACUAGCAACAUUCAGACCAACAAAUACAGCUUCCCAUCCUCCUCUCCUGAAUCCUUUCUUGUGCCUACAGGUGUACACCUUCACUACCAUGGGCCUAUCAAUAUUUAGAGAUCGUAGAGGCUGUAUGAGCCAAGGAGCUGAAGAGUAGGAUUAGGGAAGUGUGGAGUUUUCUGCUCUUGUUUGGCCAAAAUGUUGUGGACCCGACAAGAAAAUUUCAAUUUUAUGCCUUAUUGACUUCGUAUGUCCUAGGCCCUAAGAGUUCAAAACUUUCUAGAUUUCACAACUUCUUGGACCACUCCUUGUGCCAAACACCCCUUUAAGAAUUACUAAGCCAAGGAUAUAAACUUCAAUACCAUCAAUAGAAAAUCUCAUAAAAGAAACAUGAAUGAUGAAUAUUUAGAUAGAAGACUAAUUGGUACCGUACCUUCAUGAGCUGAGUUUUCUUAGUUUCGUCUGCAAUGUUCAUCAGCAUAAUUUUAAAUGAUUUUCCUAAUGUUUCUCUUCAGAAUUGAGGUCCUCUGAUGCCACAUUUACACUUCAAAUUCUUGACAGAAAUUUUGUGUACAUGAUUGGUGAAUUUUUAGGAUAAAUACUUUAUAAAAUCUCAUGCUUUUGAAUUGGCUAAAGAGCAUCCUGGAGAGCAGGUAUCGUAUACAUCACUUUUAGAUCAAGAUUUUGUUAGAGUGGAAUGGAAAUGGUCCAGAUUGACUCCUUUUACUUUCUUUGACUUCAGGGAAGAAAGUGAUGCUUCCCAAACUCUCUUGGCGCUAGUUUAGAGCAAGAACAAUGUGUCUCAUCCAAAUUACCAAGAGUAUUGGAUAAUUUUGCAAUACUAGCUGUCGUGUUGUUCUCUAUUUCUGCAAAAGAAACCAGACCGUUGCUGUCAUGCACUGCAUCCUGGUUUAGAUAAACCGUUAUGAGAAAAUUAAGCAACAUAUGGAGAAUAAUUUAAAUUGUACUAUCUUGUGGAACAAAACCUUAAUUACACAUACCCUGAAUUUCAUUUUCUUCUCCAAGGGGCACUAAAGUUACAAACUCGUCAUGUUGAAAAUUCAAAUUUUGAAUGGUAUGCUGAUCAGUUGCAUUUGAAACGUUGCAACCUCGAUUGGCAACACUGAUUCUUGCAGCAUACGGGCUUCAGCUUUAAUAGAGAAAGUAGCUUUGGAAAGUUAGUCGAACACAUUGAAAUUCCCUGAAUGUGCGAAAUCCAUGGAUUUUAUUACACAUCCAAAGGUGAACGACUUUGAGGCAUCUUGGUUAUAAUCAAUUGGUUCUCAAAGUACGCCACCUUCAUCCCACUACAAAACUAUGUUCUGUCGAGCUGAUAGCACACUUGUUCUUUAAGAACGUCUUGAAGUUAUGGAGAGUUCCAUCAAGCAUUGUGAGUGACAGGGAUGGUAGAUUCAUUGGUACUCUCUGGGAUGUAGAGUUCCAUCAAGCAUUCGCCUUCUUGGGGACACGCCUAAAUAUAUCCUUAAGCUGCCAUCCUCAGACGAAUGGCCAAACUGAAGGAUUCAAUUGUAUGCUUAAGGAAUAUCUACGACAUUUUGUUGAUUCUGGACAAAAGAAUUGGGCCUAGUUGAUGGAUGUGGCUCAAUUUUGUUUUAAUGCACAAACUAGUCUAUCCACAAGAACGAGUCCUUUCGAAAUCUUGAGUGGAAGACAACCUAUACUGCCUCAUAUUGUUGAUCAUCCUUAUGCCGAAAAAAAUCCUCAAGCUCAUAACUUUACGAAAAAGUGGAGAAGACUACGAACAUCGCUCGAGCAUACUAAGAGAAAGUCUCGAAGCGUAUGAUAAGAAGCAUCAUCCUCUCAAGUUUUGAGCGGAAGACCAACUCUUCAUAGAGUUUAAAGCAAAGCAAAUUUGAUUUAAGGACAUCAACAUCAGCAUCUCACCAGAAAAUACGAAGGGCCUGUUGAAGUUCUGAAGAAAAUUGGAAAUGCAUCCUAUAGGUAUCGUUGCCUGCAUGGAUAAAAACCAUCUAGUAGCUCAUGUGAGCAACUUGAAACUUACCAUCAAGAUCCAGAUGCACCAGUAGUGCAACAAUGGUGUAUGGUCAUCUAGUGACCUAAAGCAGAAAGACGAUAAAGAAAUGGAAGAAAUCCUUCCUAAGAGAGUGAGGAAGGGUAUACCCAUGAAGAAGAUACAUGAAUUCCUACUGAAGUGAAAGAACCUCCAUGUGGAAGAAACACGUUAGGAAUGUGCUGAAGACCUUGGAGCGUGAAAGAAGAAGAUCGAGGAAUUCUAGCUUCGCCAGUCGACAGGGACGUCAAUUGUUUAAGUGGGGGAGAAUGUAACAAGCAUGCUUGUCCAAGGUGUUUACUUAUGGCCGCAUGCCCAAACACCCCCAAUUUACAUUGUUUUUAUGUUUUGUAUUUAGUUUUACUUUUUGCUUUCCUUUUUAUGUCAUAAACCUUGGGUGUGACUUGGCUUUUUCUUAUGCAAGCCUACCAGAACUAAAAAAGUCUAAAAUGUACUAUAGAUGGGACAUAGUAGUUGAAUUCCUGCCAAGCCUUGUUGCACUCUUCGCAAUCAAAGUUUUUCUUUGCAAUUGACAGUCUUCAAUGCUUGCUUUAACGAUAUUUUCAUUGAAUUUCUUUCUCCUCACGUUUUAUAAAACAUUUUCUUAAGAACGUGAAGAGAGGCUACAUCGUAUCAUGUGUUUGUCCGUGGUUUCUGGAUUUUGAUCAGCUAACUUGUUGUCUACGUAAAACAAGUGCAACAUAAUCGCUCCUCUCGUGUUUGAAAGCUCGCGAUUGUGACACAAGAAAUGCACUAGCCAAGAAUGCACACGAGGAGGGCUACACGAAAUGCCAAGCACGCAACCAUGUGAGGUUCACAAUGUGCUUGUGUGUGAGGUUAGCACGCGGGCAUGCCCAACACGCGUGAAAAGCCUCUUGUGAGAUUCACACACAGUAGCCAGCGCCCAACCAAGGCCCUACUACCCACCCAUUCGUGCCAGGCAGUGUCAUAUUGCGUGUUGAGCUAUUUUUGGUAAUUUUUUGUGUUUUUUAAGUAUACUUUUGAUAUUUUAUUGGCAAAAGAUAAUUAAUUGUACUAUUUUACCAUUAUUUCAGGACAUGAGAAGAUCAUACAAAUUUAUAAACCAAGGAUUUGAGCUUGUAUCUAUGAGUGGAAAAUGUUUUAUUUAAAGUGAUUUCAAGCAUGUUCUUAAGUCAUGAUUUAUGACGGAUUUAUGAUAAAAUGUUUAAGUUAUGUUAUGAAAAGUCUUUCAAGGGUGUUAUUGUUUAAAGGUAUUUAUUCAAGCAUAUUGUUUACUCUUCAAAAUGCAUAAUAUUCAAAAUGUUUUCCCACUUUCUAGGUAGAGAUCGUGUCCUCUAAGCCUAACUUGCUACUACCUGUCUACUAAAGGAUUUCAUUUUGUUAUCAUAUGUGUCCUGUUAUUUUGUACUAAUGAUAAAUUAGUCUUUUGUGCUAUCAGACUUAGGCUUUUGGGAAGGUUUAAUAAGGUUUUGUUCUAGAUAAAUAAGAUUACGUUUUUUCUAUGUAAAACUUGUCUAAGGUUGUUAAAUGAAAAAGGUUUAGCCCAAUUGGUUUUAGUAAAAUUUAUGUGUUAUGUUUCCGCUGUUGUUUAGAGUUUAAAGGUUCAGGCUAAGGGUUAAAUGGUGUCGUUCUUGACGUGGGUGCUAUCGAUUGGCUUCACGCCAUAUCUCGAGCCACGCAAGUAGGUUCUCGUGGUGGGGUGUGAUAGCCUAAGUUGGCUUAUUAACAAAAUAGUCCGGGCGAGGCCCAUGUGGACCGACUGGUAAAGGUUGAAGAGCAAAUGCUCUACCUAAUGAAAGUUCCUAACUCAAUUCGCUUCUUGGAAACCCGCCUUGAAGAAAUUUUUUAGAAAGCUGAUGCUAUUAAUUAAACCACCACCCAAAAUCUUAAGCUAGUGAUUAAAAGUAAAUUUAAUUAUAUAUCACUAACAAUCCCCCACUUAUGGGUUCAAAAUAUCUAAAAGGUCCAACAAGUGAAAAUCAAUUUUAAUUGGGAAGGAAACACCAAUACAAGGUGUAACGACCCAACUUUUCCAAAUAAGUCGAAGUCAUUAAUUUCAAAUAAAGACCUGAGUUUACGCAAAAUCUCAAUCUCAAAUAAUUUCAAAGUCUCAAAGAAAACAAAAAUUUAUAUUUGGGCCCUGUUUAAAAUAGCCAACACUUUCAAGAAAAGUUUACUAAUUCGUGAAUACAGUUCAACUAUAAAAUUUUCUAAACAAUCUCAAGUACUAAAACAAAACAUGAGAAACAAAACAUUAAGCGGAAGCAAAUUAAAAUAUCCCCUAUGGCAAUCACGCUUCCUUCCUGCCCCUCGCCGGUUUGUCGCCUUUAUUACCUUUGCCUGAAAAAAUUAAACAUAAGGAGGGUGAGUAUAAAAUACCCAGUAAGAAACCCUCUACUGGUCCCAUCAGGGGAAAAUAAAUUGUUAACAUUCUAUUGGGACACCCUGUACAGUCGCAGUCUUGUGAUCCCGUAGGAUGCAUAUUUCAGUCUAACGCCCCGAGGGACGUACAUUUCAGUCUAGUGUUCUGCAGAAACACAUAUCAGUCUAAUGCUCCCGAAGGUGCAGAAUAAUUGGUGAUCCCGUGGGACACCUACAAGGCACACAUCCCAAUAAAAGCUAACAAUUUUUCCCCUCAGUCCAUUCUAAACAUCUUAACAGUCAUUCACAGAUCAGUUAAACAUUCUCAUCAUAUAAACUCCUUAUUUAACCCCAAACAGUCGUCUUACUCUAAUUUAGCCCAAGGUCAAUAAAAAGUAUAUCAUUACAUCAGUUAACAAGCUAAACAAUCAUAAUCUCCUCCUCAGCCACCAAGGGCACAACCAUGACGUUUCCUCCGUUCACAAGCACACAACAUAACAGUAGAUUAUACAUUCAGUCUAGACAACAAUCAAUCUACUAAUCAAAUCCACACUUUAUAUAAGCAACAUCUACGAGAUUCAGUCGUUUCCACAUCCUUAUCUUUGUACAUAUACAUAACCAGACAGUCACAACAUAUACUCAACCACAGUCCACAUCAACCCAUGCACAUAUAUAUAUUAAUUUCUCCCAGUCAAACACAGCAAACAUUAAACUUUAAGUCAAUACCCAAACAUACAUCAUAACUGUCGUCCUACUCAGUUCACAUAUAAUAUUUCGGUCCAUACAGUCAAUACAUCUUAAUUAGUCAAUAUAUCUUAAUUUUGUUGUUGAGUCCAGUAGAAAAUCCCUUACCUCAAAGUUAGGGAAGCUCCUUAAUCAACUAUCGUCCACGAAACAAUCCAAAUAAGGGCAAACUGAAAUCAAAAUUCACAAUUUGGUUGUGAAUUUAAGUGAUCCAAUAAAUCAAAUCCUAAACAUAAUCAAACAUAAAAUCAACAUCUUUCUAAAUAGUUUCAACCAUUCAAAUUACCCCAUAUGUAAAUUCCACAACUUACCCAAGAAGUGGAAAAUCAA
rnacentral:lncRNA from 1 species